rnacentral:rRNA from 1 species
AGAGUUUGAUCCUGGUUCAGAAUCACGCUGGCGGCGUGCUAACACAUGCAAGUCGAACGCGAAAAGCCCCGCAAGGGGCAAGUAGAGUGGCAAACGGGUGAGUAACACGUGGGUGACCUGCUUCGAGCGGGGGAUAACGUCCCGAAAGGGACGCUAAUACCGCAUGACAUCCUGCCUUUGAAGAGGUGGAGAUCAAAGCUGGGGACCGCAAGGCCUAGCACUCGAAGAGGGGCCCGCGCCUGAUUAGCUAGUUGAUGGGGUAAUGGCUCACCAAGGCGACGAUCAGUAGCCGGCCUGAGAGGGCGGACGGCCACACUGGGACUGAGACACGGCCCAGACUCCUACGGGAGGCAGCAGUGGGGAAUUGUUCGCAAUGGGCGCAAGCCUGACGACGCAACGCCGCGUGGAGGACGAAGACCUUCGGGUCGUAAACUCCUUUCGAUCGAGACGAACGGCCUCGGGGUGAAUAAUCCCGGGGAGUGACGUACCGAGAGAAGA